AAGUCGUAACAAGGUUUCCGUAGGUGAACCUGCGGAAGGAUCAUUAUUGAAAACAAGGGUGUCCAAUUUAACUUGGAACCCGAACUUCUCAAUUCUAACUUUGUGCAUCUGUAUUAUGGCGAGCAGUCUUCGGAUUGUGAGCCUUCACUUAUAAACACUAGUCUAUGAAUGUAAAAUUUUUAUAACAAAUAAAAA
rnacentral:misc_RNA from 1 species